rnacentral:rRNA from 1 species
AGUGAAUUGCAGAAUUCCGCGAAUCAUCGAGUCUUUGAACGCAAGUUGCGCCCGAGGCUUGUCCAAGGGCAUUUCCGCUAGAGCGUCACC